GAUGAACGCUAGCGGCAGGCCUAAUACAUGCAAGUCGAGGGAGAAUGUUGGAUUCGUCUGACAUGAAACCGGCGCACGGGUGCGUAACACGUAUGCAACCUACCUUUAACUGGGGUAUAGCUCAGAGAAAUCUGAAUUAAUACCCCAUAAGACUACGACAUGGCAUCAGGAUGUAGUUAAAGCUCCGGCGGUUAAGGAUGGGCAUGCGGUACAUUAGCUAGUUGGUGAGGUAAUGGCUCACCAAGGCUACGACGUAUAGGGGGUCUGAGAGGAUGAUCCCCCACACUGGUACUGAGACACGGACCAGACUCCUACGGGAGGCAGCAGUAGGGAAUAUUGGUCAAUGGACGCAAGUCUGAACCAGCCAUGCCGCGUGAAGGGUGAAGGCCCUAUGGGUCGUAAACUUCUUUUAUUAGGGAAGAAAAAACGGGAUGCGUCCUGUACUGACGGUACUUAAUGAAUAAGGAUCGGCUAACUUCGUGCCAGCAGCCGCCGUAA
rnacentral:rRNA from 1 species